UGGGGUUGUGGCUCAGUGGCAGAGCUCUUGCCUCACAUGUGUGAAGCACUGGGUUCAAUUCUCAGCACCACAA
rnacentral:tRNA from 1 species